rnacentral:rRNA from 1 species
CGGACGGGUGAGGAAUACAUCGGAAUCUGCCUUAUCGUGGGGGAUAACGUAGGGAAACUUACGCUAAUACCGCAUACGACCUACGGGUGAAAGCGGAGGACCUUCGGGCCUCGCGCGAUAAGAUGAGCCGAUGUCGGAUUAGCUAGUUGGCGGGGUAAAGGCCCACCAAGGCGACGAUCCGUAGCUGGUCUGAGAGGAUGAUCAGCCACACUGGAACUGAGACACGGUCCAG